UGGGGAAUAUUGCACAAUGGGCGCAAGCCUGAUGCAGCAACGCCGCGUGAACGAUGAAGGUCUUCGGAUCGUAAAGUUCUGUUGCAGGGGAAGAUAAUGACGGUACCCUGUGAGGAAGCCCCGGCUAACUACGUGCCAGCAGCCGCGGUAAUACGUAGGGGGCUAGCGUUAUCCGGAUUUACUGGGCGUAAAGGGUGCGUAGGUGGUCCUUCAAGUCGGUGGUUAAAGGCUACGGCUCAACCGUAGUAAGCCGCCGAAACUGGAGGACUUGAGUGCAGGAGAGGAAAGGGGAAUUCCCAGGGUAGCGGUGAAAUGCGUAGAUAUUGGGAGGAACACCAGUAGCGAAGGCGGCUUUCUGGACUGCAACUGACACUGAGGCACGAAAGCGUGGGUAGCAAACAGG
rnacentral:rRNA from 1 species